rnacentral:rRNA from 1 species
GGCGAACGCUGGCGGCGUGCUUAACACAUGCAAGUCGAACGGAAAGGCCCUGCUUUUGUGGGGUGCUCGAGUGGCGAACGGGUGAGUAACACGUGAGUAACCUGCCCUUGACUUUGGGAUAACUUCAGGAAACUGGGGCUAAUACCGGAUAGGAGCUCCUGCUGCAUGGUGGGGGUUGGAAAGUUUCGGCGGUUGGGGAUGGACUCGCGGCUUAUCAGCUUGUUGGUGGGGUAGUGGCUUACCAAGGCUUUGACGGGUAGCCGGCCUGAGAGGGUGACCGACCACAUUGGGACUGAGAUACGGCCCAGACUCCUACGGGAGGCAGCAGUGGGGAAUAUUGCACAAUGGGCGGAAGCCUGAUGCAGCAACGCCGCGUGCGGGAUGACGGCCUUCGGGUUGUAAACCGCUUUCGCCUGUGACGAAGCGUGAGUGACGGUAAUGGGUAAAGAAGCACCGGCUAACUACGUG